rnacentral:lncRNA from 1 species
UAUCAUGAGGUUUAAAUAAAUAUAAACUUUCUUUCUCCUUCAUUUUGGCAGUGUAAGUCCUGAAAUAACGUAACGGGCUACUUUGCAUGGGGCUCAGGGAAAUCUAUUUGGAGGUUUAGGUUUGAGAAUUUGUUUCUGGUUUAAAAGAUAAGGUUCAUUUAUAUAGAAAAAAAAUCCAUUCAUUUCAUUCAUUAGCAUAUGUCCACAGACAUUGCAAAGCUGAAUGCU